AAAGAUCUAAAUAAUUUUUAUUGUUUUUGUUUCAAAAAAAUUUUUAAAGUUUAUUUAGUUGUGAAAUUCUAAUCGCUUUUAUUAAUAUCUAGUAACUUUAGAAAUAAAUUUAGUUUAGAAUGAUAAGGAAAUUUUUAUUUAAUAUUAAUUCUUGAUUCAUUUUUAAAUCUUUGGGGAUGAGCUCAAAGAUUAUUUUAAAAGAAUGGAAUUUUGGUAUUUUAUCUAUAGGCUUAGAAUUAGCCAUAAAAUAUUGUUAUAAAAUAUAAUUUCAAUUUUUAGAUUUUUCUUUCUUUUUAUUUUAUAAAGUUAAUUAUAAAAUUUCUUUUAUUUUGAAAAUAUGAUAACAUUAGUAGAUUAAUAAAUUAUGAAUAUUUUUUAAAUUUAUCUUCAUAAUUUUAAUUAAUAAAUUUAACAAAAGAACUCGGCAAAAAUAAUUUCCGAAUGUUUAACAAAAACAUUUCCUCUUAGGAAAAGAGGUAAAGCCUGCUCACUGAGGACUUAAAGAGCCGCAGUAUCCUAACUGUGCUAAGGUAGCAUAAUCAUUAGUCUUUUAAUUGGAGACUGGUAUGAAUGGCUUAACGAGAAAUUGACUUUUUUUGUUAUAAAAAUUGAAUUUAAUUUUUUAGUGAAAAAGCUAAAAUAGUUCAGAAAGACGAGAAGACCCUAUAGAGUUUUAUGUUAUAUAAGAUUCAUUUUUAGUAGAUUUUUAAAAAAUGAGUUUUAAAGAACAUUUUGUUGGGGCGACAUUUAGAUAUAAGAAACUCUUUAUUUUUAUAAUUUUAGUAAAAAUUUUAACUGAUCCUUUAAAAAAGAUCAAAAGAAAAAAUUACCUUAGGGAUAACAGCGUAAUCUUUUUUGAGAGUUCUAAUCGACAAAAAGGUUUGCGACCU
rnacentral:rRNA from 1 species